rnacentral:rRNA from 1 species
GACGGAGGGCGCAAGCGUUGUUCGGAAUUACUGGGCGUAAAGCGCGGGCAGGCGGUCUGUUAAGUCGUUUGUGAAAACCCGGGGCUCAACCCCGGGAAUGCGUACGAUACUGGCAGGCUGGAGACCGGUAGAGGCUAGCGGAAUUCCUGGUGUAGCGGUGGAAUGCGUAGAUAUCAGGAAGAACACCUGUGGCGAAGGCGGCUAGCUGGGCCGGGUCUGACGCUCAUCCGCGAAAGCGUGGGGAGCAAACAGG